CGGAGUCGUCCAGUAUUCUUGAGUUCAAAAGAUUUGAGAGCUGAGAGGUGACCACGACUUCGACAAAUCUACACGGCACUAAAUUUCUAACUGUUAAUUGGAAACAUUUAAAAAAGAAGAAAUCGAAAGUGUUACCUAGUUGUUGACGAAAGGUGUCUACAUAGUUAUGGGUUGUCCAUAGCCACUGAAGCUCGAAAGGCCGAUGUGAUUUCACCUAAAAGCUUAUAGAGGGUCGAGCCUCGAAUCAGUCCGGCAGGGUUGAAUAAGUGGAUUAAGUGAGAGUAGUUAACAACUUAAGUAGUGAUUGGUCUAACCAAUCGACACUGACAGAAUACUUCUCAAAAGGAAGUGGAUAAGAAGGGAAACCAUAAUCUGACAAAAGUUCUGUCUUUAUAAGGUGUAAUCUCAGCCC
rnacentral:ncRNA from 1 species